rnacentral:lncRNA from 1 species
CUGGGCUUGGGCUUCUGGUUUGUGGAGGAAUAGGUGGAUGCAGCUGGUUGGAACACACAGUGCGCCUGUGUAGCAGAAGUGCUAAGUCAUGGCUUGAAGCAGUGAUGGAGCACCUGGCUGGUGGGAAGGUAGGGCCAACCCAGGGGAACUCAGGUGUAUGCAAUGAGUCUGAGUGACAGGAAGGGCUGGGGCCAGGAUCCACCCCUUCCCAGACCUCAUUUAAGGGUUCCCAGUGGAGGUGAGGGAUUCUUGAUGGGGACUCCUAUCUACCUGAGGCCUUCUAAAGUCUUUAAACAGUACUACAAGAUAGUGAAAAUACCCUGCAGAACCCCUCCAUGGAUAGCAGCCUCACAGUACAACUGCAGCAUCCACAAGUGGGAGGACGUGGAGGGCCCAAGUCAGAGAUCAAGUCAUACUAACACAUAUUUCUUCCCUUUGGAUUGCAAGUCAACCAGCCUGCAACUCUGCCACCUUAAGAUAGCUUCAGAAAACUGCAGGCUCCUGCUGGCCAGACUAGCCCUGACGCCUCCUCCAUCCUCUAUCUCCAACUUCCAUCUCCAUCCUUCACCCUGCGUCCUCUUGACGAUCCCAGAGCACAGAGCAGGAGCACACCCCGCUGAUGACAACUGGUUUUCCUGCAGAACUAUCAGUGGUUUGGAUGAUGAGUUUCCUCCUGAAAGGACCUGGUCCUUUUGGUGCCAGGACCAGGUGACACCGAUGGCUCUGCAGGUGCUGGAAGAGUCGGUCCUGAAGGAUUUGCCACCUUCUGCAGGAAUAGAGCUCUAUAAGACGUGUCACCCAUCAGUGGAAACGCCAGCACCAGCCACAAGGAUGCUCAGACCAGUGUCACCCUGCUGUGACACCGAGUGACGGCACUCAAGGGUAUGAGAAAUGCCUCAAGCAGAGCCAAGCUGAUAAAGAUCACCAAUGUGAAAAUUGCAUUUCCUUCACCCAGUCCAUGCUGCGAGAAGCAACGGCAC